GGGGAAUUUUGGACAAUGGGCGCAAGCCUGAUCCAGCCAUGCCGCGUGCAGGAUGAAGGCCUUCGGGUUGUAAACUGCUUUUGUACGGAACGAAAAGACUCCUUCUAAUAAAGGGGGUUCAUGACGGUACCGUAAGAAUAAGCACCGGCUAACUACGUGCCAGCAGCCGCGGUAAUACGUAGGGUGCGAGCGUUAAUCGGAAUUACUGGGCGUAAAGCGUGCGCAGGCGGUGAUGUAAGACAGAUGUGAAAUCCCCGGGCUCAACCUGGGAACUGCAUUUGUGACUGCAUCGCUGGAGUGCGGCAGAGGGGGAUGGAAUUCCGCGUGUAGCAGUGAAAUGCGUAGAUAUGCGGAGGAACACCGAUGGCGAAGGCAAUCCCCUGGGCCUGCACUGACGCUCAUGCACGAAAGCGUGGGGAGCAAAC
rnacentral:rRNA from 1 species